rnacentral:rRNA from 1 species
UACGAAGGGGGCUAGCGUUGUUCGGAAUUACUGGGCGUAAAGCGCACGUAGGCGGGUUGUUAAGUCAGGGGUGAAAUCCCGGAGCUCAACUCCGGAACUGCCUUUGAUACUGGCAAUCUAGAGACUGGAAGAGGUUAGUGGAAUUCCCAGUGUAGAGGUGAAAUUCGUAGAUAUUGGGAAGAACCCCAGUGGCGAAGGCGGCUAACUGGUCCAGUACUGACGCUGAGGUGCGAAAGCGUGGGGAGCAAACAGG